UCCACAAGGCAGUAGCCAACAAAUGAGGCUUCCUGCCUCAUUACCACCACCAAAACAGGAACCUAUUCCCGGUUCCUCGGCCUUAGCCAUUACCAAUAGAUUUACUCCAUUAGGAUCAACUCUAGGAAGUAUCCGACCAAAUUACCAAACAGCGUUAGUAAACCAGUAUGAUCCUUUCUCCUCUACUUACAGGCAAUCGCCAUCUCCCUCAGUAAGUUAUACUAAAACAUCUCCCUACAUUAUUAAACCCUCCAAAGAGUAUCUCUUCAGUAUCCCAUUUAAUUUCAAACAUCUGAAAACACCUGAGGUCAUAACCAAAAAGAUGUUUCCAGUCAAUUCCCAUUUUCAGCCAAGUGAGUUUCACAAAACCCUCAAGUACUAUACCACUAUUCUCAAUGAGACUUCUUCUAUCACCAUAAAACCUAUCCUUGAUAAAACCUCUGGCAAUCAAAACAGAAUCCUGUAUCAUUCCCUUACCAUUAAUAAAUUCUUAUUAGAAUCUGAAUGGCAAGUACCUCUUUUUCAACCCAAACCUUUUAAAAGCAGUAGCUUUCCCAGUCACUCAAACCAUUAUACCUACUUUGAUUACAUUCAAGCUUGGACUAACAUCUUCCUACACCAAUCCGAAGAUUUUAGUCAUUCAUGGUUUAUAACCUUUGAUCGUAGUUUCAGAUUGAAUUUUCCUGCAUGGUUUCCCAGAUGGUGGUCAGAACAUGGCCUUAUCUCUGACCUCAUGCCAGACGAAUUCAAGCAAGUCUUAUCAGGCACUUUCCAGAAGAAGUUCGAUAGAACGCGUUUUGAUGAAGGAAUCCCUCUAUUCGCCCUGUUCAUGGCAAAAUACAAGGUCCCCUGGAUUCUCCGCUGGAAUUACGAGAUUGAAUCCAAUCAAGUCUUCCGACAGAGAAUGAUCAAAUGGUGGGAUAAGUUCAACUACCAGAAGAUCAUUGAAGUUGUGCUCAAGGACUUCCUCAUGAGCUCUGGUCCAGUACCUGCAGUAGCAGUUCCUCCAGCUACAGCUUUACCAGAACCAACCAAGGAAGAAAUCGAUUCAUUAUCGGACAUUAGUCCUUCUUCCUCUCUCAAGGGCCAAACUAAGUCAUCCAAAUCUUCGAGCAGUUCGAAGAAAAAGAAAUCAUCAAAGCUCAAGGCUUUAGCCAAAAUUCUCAUGAAGGAACUGCAAGAAGAAAAUGAAGAUGGUUCGGACUCCGACAACUCUUCGGAUGCUUCAUCACAGUGCGCAGUAGCCACACAAGGAAAUAUCUUCCCACCUGAUUCUCAAGAUCCAUACGAAUUUUAAACUUGUAAUAGCAUGUAUAGGAAUUUCUAAAUUCGUAUGAAUGUAGUCUAAGUAAGAUACAUUGUAUCUAGACUCAGUAGAGUACUUUGUAAUAGCUGCAUAUGAAGACAAAGCCAGCCACAAGUGAAAACAGCAGUAGCAGACAAGGCACUAUUCAUGAAUAGUAAAAUCACUUUUACUAUUCAUCCAUCAUUCCAUCCACAGUAUUCACCCUCGUGAAAGUCACAGUCUCCGACAGCAUCUUCUGCUUUCGGCCUCUUACAGCAGUAGCACAGGCAGAAGCGGGAUUCUCGCUUCCAUCCUUCAAUCAUUCCGGAUCUCCUCCCUCUCCUAUAAAUAGAAAUCUUCAGCUUCAUGAAGGGGGGCUUCGGUCGAAGAAAAGAAAAGAAAAACUCUGCGAAUUCAUACAGAGUCUACAGCUUCUCAGCAAAAUAUUGUAUAUUUUAAUUUUAAGUAAUCAAGGAUGCCUGUGAGCUCCAGGAUCAGUCUUUAAUUUUCCAAAUCGUCAAUAGACGAAACUUCUGUAAGUCUUAUUUGAUUUUCAAUAAAUAUAUUUUCUUUCGAAAAACAGCAUCAUUAAUUUAAAUCAUCAUGAACACUAAAUCUAUUUUAAAUUUAGUUUUGUUUAUAUAUGCUCUUGUUAUUAAUCCUAAAAAUUUUACAUUGAUAUUAAUCAAAUUCUUUGAAUUUCCAAAUACAUAUAUCGGAUAUUUCCGACUUCAUAUGUUACCUUACUUCCGCACCCAUUACUUCCGCACCCAUUUGGUAUCAGAGCCAAGUGUGGUUGGUUAUACCAUUAGUAUCUGAAUACUCUGUUUAUACCUUUAAAAAUCUUCAGUCUUUUAUAGUUAAUCUUUGCAGUUUAACCUUUUAGUGUCUCCUGAUUUCCAUAAGGUCUGAGCAGUAAGGCGUCACCCAAACAGUAAGUCCCGGAGGAUAGGGCCUGAGCGGCGCGCAUGACCCAGAGAGCUUGGUGUUUAGAAGCACUAGUAAGAUUUUCUGUGAAGGUUUCUGUAUUUUGAUUGUUUGAAUUUUUAAGUAUGAGUAGAUUAUUUAGAUCUAAUUCUAUGGCCAGCACUAGCUCUAGAUCAAAUCUAGGAACUAUACCUGAUAUUGUUAAUGAAGAACAAAAAUUUGAAUUUCAAACAGACAGUAGUCUAGAUUUUGCUGAAUGGAAUAUUCCAAAAAUAUCUUCAAAAAAUAUUUAUAAAAAGAAAUGGGCAUUCGCCUCUUUUAAAACUGAACACCAUGUUAAAACGGUUGAACAAGCUUAUGCUCUUAGUAAAGAUCAUGAGACUUGCCAAUUGUUUACCCCAGAACAAAUUAAUUCCCAUAGGAAAGAUGGUCAUAAUUAUAUUCAUAUAGGUUUAGUGCAAAUUGCAGCCAAACCAUUAACACGUAGAGGUCUUAAUACCUCUAUCCUAUUAUGUCUCCGAGAUGCUAGAUUCACUGACUUCAAUGAUAGUAUACUUGGUAUGGUUGAAUCCAGCCUCUGUAAUGGACCUAUCCACUUUGACUGCUUUCCAGAUCUUACCAUAAGUCUGUCCGACCCACACAUGCUAAAAGCACUUACACUAAAUAUCAAAACUUCAGGAUACAAAGUCCUAGAAGGAACACAGCCUUUAGCCUUAAUUUAUAGGAUCUAUUAUAAGGUUACUGGCACAAAUAUGAACUUUCAGGCUUUAACCAAAAGUCCGAAGGAUCAUACUCUCUUGAUCCAGACAGAUCAAGAGAAUGCCAAUAUUAAAAUACCUCGAACCAUUAGGUGGUCAGAAAUCAAUCUCCCCUCAGAUUGGUGUCUGAUAAACGAGAGUCGGCCAGUAGCCAUCCAAAAUAGUCUAGUUAAUUUAGACAACGUAGAACAAUACUUUGACGGUACGGUUAAAAUUAAUUUUGAUCGUCCUGCAAGGCAAUCCUGUGAUUCUAAUCGAUCACUUAAAUCCUUUGCUUCCAAUAGGAAUUCUUUUUCUGGAUCUAUGCCAACCGAUAGGCAAGGUCGAGACCAAGAAUUGAUCAAUUCCCUAGCCAAUAGGAAAUUAAAAUCAGUAGAUACAGGCUCAUCAGUCACUCAACAAGAAUUAAUAAAUGACCUUUUACAUUUCAAACUUCAAUCACUUGAGACAAACGCUCAAGUAGUCCAGCCUACCUAUCAUACCCCAUCCAUUCCUCCUAAGGAAGAACAAACAUCCCCAACUGCUUCAGAUUUUGAUGCAGAACCAGUACACCACCAACUAUUAGUUUUAACCAGAAAAGAACCUUUUAAGUAUGACCGUAAGAAACUCUGUAGAGACAUAGAAGCCUUAGAAAAUGUCCCUCGACGAAACAUCUUCAGAAGUAAAUAUACUACUGAAGAGAAAUUAGAAAUCCAUAAGGCAUGGAAAGACUUCAUGCAAGCCAACAGACUUGAAAUAUUUUUCUUCGACUUCGUAGAAAAACAUUAUGAGUCUGAAAACCAAGUAAAGGUAAUAACCAAAGAAAAUUGGGUUAGAGAAGACAAGACAAUUGUCUCCUCCAGUCACCCUCCACAAGAAACUAUACUUAUUAGUACUGCGAAUACGCAAGUCCCAGCCUCGCCGUUCAAACUUCCGAAGGAAGAUGCAGGUGUCAAACCUGUUAUUGAACAAAACAAUUUUACUAACCAAAGCCUACAUAUCAUAGGAAAACAGUUGGAUAAAAUCGAAACUAAGGUUGACAAUUUGUCAAAUAAACCACUUAGUAAAGAAAUACCUUUAACUAGUUUUAGAGAGUCACCCUCUUUAAAAACUUCAACAUCUAUUAAGAUAGAACAAAUGCUUCAUAAGCUAGAAAAGGACAAAUCAGUUCGUGUGAUUAAUAACCCACAUGAUUCUGAAACACCUUCCUCAGUUCCAGAUUCCGAUGAUGAAAGUAUUAAUUCCAUCAUUCAUAUGGAGCAAGCCUUUCAGAGUCUUGAACUAAAACGUCUUAACACUAAAAGGACUAAUCCUACAUCCUUAACCAAAAACUGGUAUCCCAGACCAACUCCUCCUGAUCUUCAAUUUGAAGAAAGGAAUUUCCAAUCCCAAUUCACUGUUUCAUCUGAUAAACUCUAUGAAUGGAAUAUAGAUGGUCUAUCAGAACAAGAGUUACUAAACAAACUCCAGCACAUCUCCAUGGUAGCAAAUAGCUAUAUCACUAACCAUGACCUUAGUCAAACCCAAAUUGUCGACAUCCUUGUCUCUGGAUUCACAGGAAUGCUUCAUUCCUGGUGGGAAAAACAUCUCACUGAAGACUCCAGAAAUCUAAUAAGAAAUGCUGUAAAGCAAGAUGAAGAAGGAAUACCUAUCUUCGAUGAACAUUUAGGACGUGGUGUCCCAGAUGCAGUCAAUACCUUACUUUAUACAAUCAUACAACAUUUCAUAGGAAUCCCUUCCAACAUCACAUCUAGAAUCCAUGACCAACUAAGCAACUUAAGGUGUCCAACCCUAAGUGAUUUUAGAUGGUAUAAAGAUGUAUUUAUGUCAAGAGUUAUGCUAAGAGAUGAUAGUAAUCAACCAUUUUGGAAAGAAAAAUUUAUAAAUGGAUUACCAAACCUUUUUGCACACAAAAUAAGGAAUACCUUAAUUAACGAAGAUGGUAUUAUACCAUAUAAUGAUCUUACUUAUGGACAUAUCAUAAGUAUUAUCCAAAAAGAAGGCCUAAAAAUGUGCAUAGAUAUGAAGAUAUCUAGACAAGCACAAUCUGAAAAGGCUAUCGCCAAAUACGAAUUAGGAACCUUCUGUGAGCAAUAUGGUUUACCACCCAUAGCUCCUUCCAAUCUCAAAAAGAGAUCAACAACCUUCAAUAGAUCUAAGAUCUCUAAACCACGGACCAACUACUCCAAGUAUCAUAAAGGCAAGUAUGCCAAACCAAACCCAUUUUAUGAAAACCCCAAACAGAAAAGAUGGGAAGGAAAGAGAAAAUCCUCUGGAAAAUUCCAUUCUAAAGACAAUAGUCAUAAGGGAAAAUGCUACAAAUGUGGCAAAGAAGGCCACUAUGCCAAUAAAUGUAAGGUUAAGAAAACCAUAAGUCAGUUGAAGAUUUCUGAGGAAGAAAAGCUUCAACUUAUCCAAGCCCUAGGACUCCAAAAUACCGACAGUAGUCAUUCAUCUGAAGAUGAUCUAGGUUCCACCUCUUCAUCCUCAUAUCAAUCUGCCUCUAGUAAACACUCUACCCCAAACAUCAAGAUUGGAUGUCCUGAUGCUUGUUGUAAAACCAUUUCAGUACUAACUAAACAAGAGAAACAAGAAGAGUUACUCUUAGAACUAAUAAGCAAUGUUGAGGACACUGAACUCAAGAGGUUUUACCUCAAAAAGCUUAAAAACUUAGUUUCUCAAGAAGAAGUAGGCACUAGCCAAUCUCAAAUUCAAAAACCACAAAUCUCUCUUAGUUCUACUCUAGCAAAGUUUAGUAAGCCUAAGAAAGAAAUUACGGUCAGUGACCUCCAAAAAGAAAUCAAUCAGAUAAAAGAAGAAAUUAAACUUCUAAAAUCUGAUAAUCACGAGAUUCGUACACAACUCACUAGAGCCAAUCCUCCUCCAACAGAAGAACUAUCCAGUUCCUCUUCCAGUAGUCACCAUGAGUCUGAAGAUGAUACCCAUUCAGAACAAUUAGUUCUGAAUCUUCUUCACAAAAUUAGAAUCCAAAAAUGGUAUUCUAAAGUAACAAUAAUAAUUGAAGACUUUCGUUUCGAAACAAUAGCAUUGAUUGAUUCAGGAGCAGACUUGAAUUGUAUUCAAGAAGGUCUGAUUCCCACUAGGUAUUUCCACAGGUCAAAGGAAAUCCUUAGUGCCGCUAAUGAAUCUCCAAUGGAAAUCAAGUAUGAACUUCCUAAGGCGCAUGUUUGCCAAAAUGAAGUUUGUUUCAAAACACCUUUUGUUCUAAUUAAGAACUUAUCUGACCCUGUCAUACUAGGACUACCCUUUAUAGCACUCCUUUAUCCUUUUAAGACACAUCAUAAUAGGAUUACCUCAAAGGUCUUAGGACAGAAAGUCACAUUUGAGUUCUGCCUGGAAACAGAUCUAAAAAAACUUAGACAUCUCCAAAAGGAUAGCACUUCGCGAUCCUUAAACAUAAUUUCUAAUAAGACUAGACAUCUUCAAUUCUUGAAAGAUGAUAUUCAUCACAAAAAAAGAACUGAAGAACAACUUAAACAAGAGAUUAUAUCUCAGAAAAUCUUUAAAUUUGAAGAACAACUUGUUAAAGAAGUAUGUUCUGAUAUUCCCAAUGCCUUUUGGCACCGCAAACAACAUAUCGUUAAAUUACCUUAUAUCAAGGAAUUUAAUGAGUCAAAAAUCCCUACUAAGGCCAGACCCAUUCAAAUGAGUCAAGAAGUAAUGGAUUUCUGUAAGGCAGAAAUACAAGAUCUUCUUAAUAAAGGAAUUAUCCGUAAUAGCAAGUCACCUUGGUCGUGUCCUGCAUUUUAUGUUCAGAAGAGUGCAGAACUUGAAAGGGGUUCUCCCCGAUUAGUUAUUAACUACAAACCUUUAAAUGAAGUUUUGGAAUGGAUUAGAUAUCCAAUUCCCAACAAAAGAGAUUUAAUAAAAAGGCUUAGUAAAACAACUAUUUUCUCAAAGUUUGAUAUGAAAUCAGGUUUUUGGCAAAUCCAAAUUCAUGAAUCUGACAAAUAUAAAACUGCUUUUGUAACGCCUUUCGGCCAUUAUGAAUGGAAUGUUAUGCCUUUUGGUUUGAAAAAUGCACCAUCUGAAUUCCAGAAUAUUAUGAAUGAGAUUUUUAAUCAGUAUAGUCAUUUUACAAUUGUUUAUAUUGAUGAUGUUCUUGUUUUCUCUAAAUCUAUAGAUGAACAUUGGAAACAUUUACACUUGUUUGCUAAGAUCAUUCGAUCAAAUGGAUUGGUUGUGUCAGCCACUAAGAUUAGGUUGUUUCAACUUAAGAUUAGAUUUUUAGGUUAUAAUAUUCAUAGGUCUACCAUCCAACCUAUUGACCGUGUCAUCCAAUUUGCAGAUAAAUUUCCAGACCAGAUUACUGAAAAAACCCAACUUCAAAGAUUCUUAGGUUCUUUGAAUUAUGUUUCAGAAUUUUAUCCUCAUUUGCGUCAACAAUGUAAACCCUUGUUUGAUCGCCUUAAGGAGAAUCCUCCUGCCUGGUCUACCAUUCAUACUUCUAUUGUUAAACAGAUCAAAAAUCAUGUUAAGACUUUGCCCUGUCUUGGCAUUCCAACUCCCAACUCUUUUAAGAUUGUUGAAACUGACGCCUCUGACGUUGGUUAUGGAGGUAUCCUCAAACAGCAAACUUCCUCCGGAUCACCUGAACAAAUUGUUCGUUUCCAUUCAGGUGUAUGGAAUCCUGCUCAAACUAAUUAUAGUACUAUUAAAAAAGAAAUACUAUCUAUAGUUUUAUGCAUUAGUAAAUUUCAAGAUGAUUUAUUAAAUCAAAAAUUUCUCGUUAGAGUUGAUUGCAAAUCUGCAAAACAUGUUUUACAAAAAGAUGUUCAAAAUAUUGCAUCAAAACAAAUUUUUGCACGAUGGCAAGCCAUAUUAUCAAUCUUUGAUUUUGAAAUCGAAUACAUUAAAGGCAGCCAUAACUGCAUUCCAGAUUUCCUAACCCGAGAAUUUUUGCAGGGGAAGAAUGUCUAAUAAGAUCACAGCUUCUCCACAAGGCAGUAGCCAACAAAUGAGGCUUCCUGCCUCAUUACCACCACCAAAACAGGAACCUAUUCCCGGUUCCUCGGCCUUAGCCAUUACCAAUAGAUUUACUCCAUUAGGAUCAACUCUAGGAAGUAUCCGACCAAAUUACCAAACAGCGUUAGUAAACCAGUAUGAUCCUUUCUCCUCUACUUACAGGCAAUCGCCAUCUCCC
rnacentral:lncRNA from 1 species